rnacentral:rRNA from 1 species
CCGCGUGAGGGAUGACGGCCUUCGGUUGUAACUCUUUCAAGCAGGGACGAUAAUGACGGUACCUGCAGAAGAAAGCUCCGGCCAACUACGUGC